rnacentral:rRNA from 1 species
UGGGGAAUAUUGCACAAUGGGCGAAAGCCUGAUGCAGCAACGCCGCGUGAGGGACGACGGCCUUCGGGUUGUAAACCUCUUUUAGCAAGGAAGAAGCGAAAGUGACGGUACUUGCAGAAAAAGCGACCGGCUAACUACGUGCCAGCAGCCGCGGUAAUACGUAGGGCGCAAGCGUUAUCCGGAAUUAUUGGGCGUAAAGAGCUCGUAGGCGGUUUGUCGCGUCUGCUGUGAAAACCCGAGGCUCAACCUCGGGCCUGCAGUGGGUACGGGCAGACUAGAGUGCGGUAGGGGAGAUUGGAACUCCUGGUGUAGCGGUGGAAUGCGCAGAUAUCAGGAAGAACACCGAUGGCGAAGGCAGAUCUCUGGGCCGUAACUGACGCUGAGGAGCGAAAAGGGUGGGGAGCAAAACAGGCUUAGAUACCCUGGUAGUCCACCCGUAAACGUUGGGAACUAGUUGUGGGGUCCAUUCCACGGAUUCCGUGACGCAGCUAACGCAAUUAAGUUCCCCGCCUGGGGAGUACGGCCGCAAGGCUAAAAACUUAAAGGAAUUGACGGGGUCAU